CAGUACUUUUAAUAUAAGAGAUUUUUAUAAGUGUGGGAAGAGAUUUUUAUUAUAAUACUUUUUAAAAUGGUUUCAACAAAAAAUAUUUUUUUGGCCACACAAUGUAUUUUCCAAUAUUUUCUACUUGUGUUUAUAACAUGUACUAUAUGGUUGAUGGCGUACUCAUAUAGCUGGAAUUCCUUUCAUACAUGGCAUAUAUUCCUUUCUACAAUUGGGUUUGCAUUGCUGAUGGGAGAAGCUAUAGCAAUACUGAAUCCAGCUUAUGCAGAUAUAUUAAACAUAGAGAAAACUAAAAGAAAUGGUCUGCAUGGACUUUUGAUGGCCUGUGCUACAAUCAGUAUUAUUAUUGGAGUCUCUUUGAAAAUUCAUGAUAAAACACGAAAUAAUAGAGCCCACUUUACCUCAACGCAUGGUAUAUUAGGUUUUACGGCAUUCAUCCUAACAAUCGUCUCAGUCGUCACGGGAGAAUUAGUUCAUUUUGGAAAAAAUUUGUACAAUGCCUGUGGAAUCAAACCAAAAUUUAUAUCAAGCUGCCACAUCUUUUUAGGAAUAUUUGGUUACGUUAUUGGUAUAGUAAGCUUGUGCUACGGUUUAAAUAACUACUUCUCUUUGGUAGAUACGCAUACCAAAACAGCUUUUAUUGUUAUUGUAGCCAUAAGUGCUUUCAUUAAUAUUUUAUCUUCUUUAAAACGUUUACUUAGGGUAUGAGAUUUUAUUGUAAUUGUAGUAUUUAUAGGUAUUAAAACAUGUGUAAAAUAUUAACUCAAUAAAAGUUUUUUUUAAA
rnacentral:lncRNA from 1 species